GAUGAACGCUGGCGGCGUGCUUAACACAUGCAAGUCGAACGAUGAAGGGGGAGCUUGCUCCUCUGGAUUAGUGGCGAACGGGUGAGUAACACGUGAGCAAUCUGCCCCUGACUCUGGGAUAAGCGCUGGAAACGGCGUCUAAUACCGGAUACGAGCCAAGCAGGCAUCUGCAUCGGUUGGAAAGAACUUCGGUCAGGGAUGAGCUCGCGGCCUAUCAGCUUGUUGGUGAGGUAAUGGCUCACCAAGGCGACGACGGGUAGCCGGCCUGAGAGGGUGACCGGCCACACUGGGACUGAGACACGGCCCAGACUCCUACGGGAGGCAGCAGUGGGGAAUAUUGCACAAUGGGCGGAAGCCUGAUGCAGCAACGCCGCGUGAGGGACGAAGGCCCUCGGGUUGCAAACCUCUUUUAGCAGGGAAGAAGCGAGAGUGACGGUACCUGCAGAAAAAGCACCGGCUAACUACGUGCCAGCCGCCGCCGUAA
rnacentral:rRNA from 1 species